GAUGAAGAACGUAGUGAAAUGCGAUACGUAGUGUGAAUUGCAGAAUUCCGCGAAUCAUCGAGUUUUUGAACGCAAGUUGCGCCCGAGGCUUGUCCGAGGGCAUUUCCGCUAGAGCGUCACCGCGCCCCCCCCCACCACGCUCCCUAAGUUACUUGGGAGUUUGAGUGGAACUGGCCGUCCCGGAAAUCGGGUCGGCUGAAAUGGAGGGAAUUUGGCCGCCGUGGCAUCACUUGCCCCCGCGAUCAGGUGCGAUUUCGAAGGUUAUCUUCCAAGUGCGGGGGCUCCCAGUGAGCCCCGAGUGCGUGCCGGAGUUCCACAGCAGGCUACCUUUACCACUUGGGGCCAGCAAUGGCCCAAGACACGAAGGGAAAAGAGGUAACGCAUCAGACCUCUAAUCGGAAAAGACUACCCGCCGAGUUUAAGCAUAUCAAUAAGCGGAGGA
rnacentral:misc_RNA from 1 species